AGUGUUAAAAUUAAUAGAUCUGGGUAUAAAUAACAGAACAGAACAUUUACUAAAGGAAAAUAGAACUUCUGUUAAAAAAAUCAUGGAACUGUUAAAACAGGCAUACAGUGAAUAGAGAUAAUAUAGAUUAACUACAAUAGAAAAACAAUUUAGACCAUUCUCUUAUUGAUUAUGAACUAAUUUCUGCAGAGACCAGUCCAAGAAAUUCAUUAAUCAAAGAUUUUAGUCCUCCUUUGUGAACAACAUGACAUGGGGUUGUAUUUUGGUUUUUGCUGAGACUGUUUUUACAUGGUCACACAGGUCAUCAUAUUUCUCCCAGGCAAAAGAGUUUCUUCUGCAGUAAGCCACGUAAUGUCCAAGAGAUUUCCUUGUUGGACCUGGAAUGAAUGCAACAACCCCUCGCAAAGUGAACCGCUGAUUGUCCAGCUCCAUGUCGACAGGGAUUUCAGACAGUGGAUGAUUAGUAUCACUUGUUUCAAUGCACAGUAGUUGUCCAGGUAUGCAUCUGUGUGUGACAGAGCCAUUGCAGAGGAAUUCCAUUGAUGGAUUAUCCUUAAUUUUCCAGCUAUCUGGACACUCUUGGGGUGAUUUCAGUGGCUUCAGACACUUGGACCUGUUGAGGUGUAGCCCAUCUUCCAGUGCUGCUUGGAGGCUUUUCAGACCACCAGUUUGUAGAAUAUCUACGUUGACUGGUAGGAGAUAGAUGGUCCUUGAAGAUUUAGUAUUUCGGCUGCAGUAUGGAGAAGAGCACUCAGCUUUUUUGAGUGCUCUUUGUCGAGAUAAUGACAGAAUGAUCCGCUGUCACAGAAUGCAGAGCAAAGGCACUGGCAAAAGGAAUCAAAGGCGCAGGUUUAUGUCUGCAUGCAACCACUCAGAGCAAGGGGUCAGGUAGGACAGUCGCUUUUUUGGAGGAACACCGAGGCCUUUCCAGUUUUCAACAGGGUCUUCCUCCACUAAUUGUUGCUUAACCUCUGUGUCCUGCUCACUAUGGGUAGUUUUUGUCUUCUGAUUCUUUGUCUCAAUGUGCUCUGUCUUUAGCGGUGCAGAUGAAAGCCUCAUGUUUCCCUCAAGAAACUCAAGGUGGCGUAUGACAAAACGGUCAAUUCGGAUGGGGAGGCUUUCAUGUUUGAAAAGGCCAUGUUUUAUGUUUUUAAAUUCAGCCUCAACAUUUGCAGAGCUUGCUGUGUUGUGUACGCUUUUGAAGUGUGGAACCAUCACAGCUGUCCAAAGGGAUUUCUGUAACCCAUGUUUUUAGAUCUGUGGCGAGUGUCUCCUCGACUCCGGUCACCUCUGUUAAAUGGUCAUCUUCAGUGACACAUGGCAAGACCCCCUCUGCAAAUCGUCUCUUCAAUUGUGCUUUGCAUGUUUCCGAGACAACAGGCAUUCCCACAGGCUAAUGAGCUUGAUGCAGUGUGCAACAUCUACUCUGAUGAAGCAAGGUGGUAGCUUUGAGUCUUCUGGCUUCCUUGCCAGCACUCCAAAGCACUGAUUGAUGUAUGUUUUCAGGUCUGGGUAAGGAGUGAAGGCCUUAACCAGUGCUCCAAGCAAAGCCAAGGAGAAAUCACAGACCGCCUCUUUGGGCACAGCAGCACCUGCUCGUUGCCAUUCCGUGAGCCAGUUGGCAAUAGAAUUGAUGGUGUGGCUCUCUGAUAGCAUUUGCACUACUGGAAUAUGAUCUCCCUGUGAACACAAAACUCCUUGAUACAGGAAGACAUGUCCAGAAUUACCACAGGGUCUUCUCAGUCUUUUCACAACUGUACCUGUUGCAUCAAAACUCACAAAUGAGCCAGAGUACUUGGAUUUCGUUUGAUACACUUGCAUCUGAGAUGGGGUCCAGUAAUGGCAAAAAAACUUAUCAAGGCCUAUGUCAUGAAUGCUUCCAUUGUGGGGUACACUGUAUUUUAGUAGAUGCAAUGACAUGAUUGGGUCUUUGUCUCCAAGCUCUUUGUCACCCAUCUCUUGUUUGGCUUUUCUUAAUGUUGCCAGAUUUGGCAGGUGGCUAGGCUCUGGGUCACCAACAUCCAUCAUUUUGUAAGCCUCAGCUGCUCGCCAUACAUGUGCUGGUUUUCGGCCUUCCCAGAGUUCUUUAGACACACGUGUUCUCAGAUCCCCUGAUAACUUCCGUUUUGCUUUGCCAGUAUGGAGACUGUCAUCAACAUUGCGGAUUAUACAUUGAAGCACAACUGGUUUAUUAUCCACUGGCAUGUUCUCUGCUGUUAUAGACAAUUGUGCGUCACACUCUGUGCAGUUCCCAAUUAUGUCUAUGUAGUGAGAUGCAUUAUUUGGAAAAUUUUUUGCCCUUCUGAAUCUAAGAGUGCAUGAGGUCUUGAUAUUUUUCCAUAUCUCCUCGUACAAGACGUCUGUCCAUGCACCACGUUUCAGGAUGGUGUAUUCUCUUUUGUCAUUGUAAUCAACCUUUUCAGGCCAGAUUUCUACCCAUCUCUGAUGAGAAAGACUGAUCUCAAAUGUAAUGUCGUAGCAUUGACUUUGCUGAUUUUUGUCUGCCUUUGACACUGCUGAAUGAAAAUCUGCUGAGCUUUCUUGUGAGCUGUCACUGUUUGGACCUUGAUCUUGGGUAUCUGUGUCGAUUUUGCAUAGCUCAAGGAUUUGCCAUAUAUUGUGCCUAUUUGUCUUCACAAUAGUAUAAAGGUUCUUUGGUGAAACUUUGUUAUUUAGUUGUUUGCUUAAAUCUGCCCACACCUUUUCUGUGGGAACUGCUAUGUUUGUUCCUGUAAUAAUCUGUUCCUUUGCAGCACUGAUGACUUUGAUGAUGUCAUCACGUCCACAGGCUGGUUUCCUAGGCAUCUGAUCAAAACAGGAAUUAUUUUUAAUGUAGUUUUUAAUAAAGUAGUUGGGCCACAUUAA